rnacentral:rRNA from 1 species
UACGGGGGGAGCAAGCGUUGUUCGGAUUUACUGGCGUAAAGGGCGCGUAGGCGGUCAGCACAAGUCAGUUGUGAAAUCUCCGGGCUUAACUCGGAAAGGUCAACUGAUACUGUGCGACUAGAGUGCGGAAGGGGCAACUGGAAUUCUCGGUGUAGCGGUGAAAUGCGUAGAUAUCGAGAGGAACACCUGCGGCGAAGGCGGGUUGCUGGGCCGACACUGACGCUGAUGCGCGAAAGCCAGGGAGCGAAGCGGG